CGGGUGUAUAGCUCAGUUGGUAGAGCGAUCGGCUGUUAACCGAUUUGUCGUAGGUUCGAGUCCUACUAUACCCGU
rnacentral:tRNA from 2 species